GGGACAGCAGGCACCAGCACACGACCUCCACGAGAGCUAGGCUGGGCCAGGUGAGCAGAGCUGAGGUUAACCUUCAGAGAGAAGCUCCCUGCUCGGCCGCGGCUCCUCACCCUGGACUGGACUUUGCGAUGCCUUGACCCGGCCGCCUUCCCCUCCGUGCUGCCCUUUACUCCCCUGGACCUUGCCACUUCCUGCUCCUAGCGGCCAGGACUCCGACGAUGGAGCUGUGGAAGCGGCUGGAGCAGGCUGGCCUGGCCCCCCCGGGGCUGGGCCCACCCCCCAGGGCCCUGAGGGGCGUCCCCCCGGUGGAGAGCCCUCGCCAGACCCUUUUGUCCCCCACGGAAGACCCUGGAGGUGCCAGCCAGAGUCUCCUGUGGAUCUGGGAGGAGCUGGAGAACAUGCGCCGAGUGGAUGUCCAGCUGCUGGCCCAGCUGUGCAGACUGGGAAUGGAGAUGGGCGCACUUUGGGAGGAACUGGCGGCCAUCGUGGAAGAAGAGGAGAGCGGCGAGGAAGAGGAGGAGGACAAAGAGCCCCAGGAGAAGCAGGGGCAAGGACACCAGGGACCCUCCUGGGUGGACUUACGGACGCCUGACUUUGAGAUGAUAAUCUGAGGCCCUGCCUGGGCGGACACCUCAGGGUGACACACAGAUGAGAUGCAAGAGGGGAGGUGUCCCGGCCAAACCAGGCCUGACAGAGUCUGCAGGGUUUAAAGCGUGAUGUUCAUGGGCAUCCAUUGCAGUCACACGGGCAGCCACCCCCCUCCAGGGCUCCCCACCUGCAGAGCUGAGACUCCCCUGAGCUCCCCGUGCCCGCCCUCGGCCCUGGCGCCCGGCGGGCUGCUGUCUGUGUCUGAGCACGCCGGGCUCACAGAAGUGGCGUCACAGGGACCUGUCCUUUUGUGCCUGGCCUGUUUCACUCAGCAUAAGGUCUGCGUGUCCAUCCGUGCUAACCUCAGGUCAGAAUCCUCUCCCCCCCUUUGAAGGCGUGGCACAUGUGCCCACGCUUGGUGGGGCUGGCUUUACCCAUCCCUGGACACUCAGGCUACUCCCGCCCUUUUUGGGACAUGUUGUCAUGAACAUGGGUGAGCAGAUGACUCGGACAGGCCCUGCUUUUGAUUCUCUGGGUUGUGCCCAGAAGUGGAACUGCCGGGUCAGGUGGAGACUCCAGGUUUAUAGUUUCAGGAGUGGCCAUGUCAUUUCCUGUAGGAGCUGAUUCAGUUCACAUUCCAGACAUACUACACAAAGGCUCCAAUAUCUCCCUCUCCUCGGCGGCAUAUACAUUUCUGACAUCUUUAAUAAUUUCACUGAU